rnacentral:rRNA from 1 species
CACGGGGGGAGCAAGCGUUGUUCGGAUUCAUUGGGCGUAAAGGGUGUGUAGGUGGCGCGCUAAGUCGGGUGUGAAAUUUCGGAGCUUAACUCCGAAACUGCAUUCGAUACUGGCGUGCUUGAGGACUGGAGAGGAGACUGGAAUUCAUGGUGUAGCAGUGAAAUGCGUAGAGAUCAUGAGGAAGACCAGUGGCGAAGGCGGGUCUCUGGACAGUUCCUGACACUGAGACACGAAGGCCAGGGGAGCAAACGGG